GUAGGUGAACCUGCGGAAGGAUCAUUAAAAAAGAUCACCGGUGUAUCCCAGCGACGUCGUGUACUCGACCUUGUGAGGGCUGUCUUAAACUCACAGCGUUGCCAGCCGCGCGGAAUACUAAUGCCCUAGCCUUCGGGCUAGGGGCCGAGUGAAUCCCACCCGUGUCUACAUACUCUUGUUGCUUUGGCGGGCCGUGGCCUCCACUGUGGGCUCUGCCUGCAUGCGCCCGCCAGAGGACCCAACUCUGAAU
rnacentral:misc_RNA from 1 species